GCCCUGAACAGCCUCAGGAAACUCAAGUUGAUGAAGUUAUUCUGCAGCGGAGCCGCGCCAUCGUCAGGGAGAGAAGGUGAUGAUGAUGAGAGCCACGAAGAUAUUGACAAAGAAAAAGGGGAAGACGACAAAAUACACCACAUAAAAGAUGGACAUCUCCAUCCGGUACCCCGGGCUGGGGCCUUGAUUCUCAUGACCAUGUCGCCAAAUGACUCUGCGGGGCCCUACCGGCCAGAAAAGCUGCAUGGACCGCAACAAGC